rnacentral:rRNA from 1 species
UACGUAGGGUGCAAGCGUUGUCCGGAAUUAUUGGGCGUAAAGAGCUCGUAGGCGGUCUGUCGCGUCGGACGUGAAAACCCAGGGCUCAACCUGGGCCUGCGUUCGAUACGGGCAGACUAGAGUUCGGUAGGGGAGACUGGAAUUCCUGGUGUAGCGGUGAAAUGCGCAGAUAUCAGGAGGAACACCGGUGGCGAAGGCGGGUCUCUGGGCCGAAACUGACGCUGAGGAGCGAAAGCGUGGGGAGCGAACAGG